rnacentral:lncRNA from 1 species
ACAAUGAUCAUGUUUUUUUAACGGUUUUGAAAGAGCCCCUGAUUGGGCCAGGGUGGCAUUUACCUGGUGGAGUCUUAGUCCGGUAGCAUGACGAUUAAAACUAAAUUAUUCGGCUAAUGUCUCGUCCGCUACAUAGGCAAAUUAGUCUGAGACUGCAAUCACGGAGGGGGUUCGCUUAUCUGGCCCGAAGAGUUUGAACCGGGUGAAACGUGAUUGCUUUCGUUUUGGAACGGGGCUGCCUCCGGGGCGUGAGCCAGUGCCCAGCGCUCGCCGACCGCGAACACUGACCAAAACAAACGUGACAUAGCCACGCACGUGUAGUAAUGAGUGGGAUUGUGUUUUCACAUGCAAAGGCAGAGCAGGCAACAGAUGGCACACAGACAGCAGAGUUGGGGACAGAUAUGCAGGGACAGACUGGCAGAGACAGGGAGUCUCAGACGCUUUAUCUGGACAUGGUUCGUCAGGACCUCCAACAGCCGAAGCUAAGUAUUAACAUUAACAUGAUGCCUUCUAAUUGCAGUCGUUGUACUCAUAAUAUACAGGAGAACGAUCGCCUUACGGCGAGGAUAGCUGUGCUGCAAGCCCAGCUUCAGACGCAAUCGUUAGGCAAGGGUAAUUUAAGUGUAGGAAAGGAUGAAACAGCGUCUGUGCCACCAGUAAGUACAGAUAGCAGUAUAAAUCCCCUCGCACGGUCCCCGCAGCCGGACAACUUUCUCAUGGCUUCUGGAGGGAAAUGCUGUAGGAAUGCUCAACCGGUGUCGCUCAUUCAGCCGACGAAAACGUUCAAUCGGUUCUCCCCAUUAAGCAGCAAGUCGGAGUCAGAGGCCGAGCCUUCUCUGGUCUCUAUUCCUCCUGUUACGAGGUCUGAGAUGCCGAAGCCUCCCACCAUUUGCUCUGACAAAUUUAAAACCCUAGUCAUUGGCGACUCCAUUACCCGCAGUAUUAGAAUUAAAAUGAAUCAUCCAGUGAUCAUACACUGUUUAUCAGGGGGCAGGGCUACCGAUGUUAAGGCUAAUCUGAAGAUGGUGCUGGCUAAAGCUAAAACUGGCGAGUGUAGAGAGUAUAGGGAUAUUGUUAUCCACAUCGGCAGCAACGAUGUUAGGAUGAAACAGUCAGAGGUCACCAAGCGCAACAUAGCUUCAGCGUGUAAAUCAGCUAGAAAGAUGUGUCGGCAUUGAGUAAUUGUCUCUGGCCCCAUCCCAGUUAGGGGGAGUGAUGAGCUCUACCGCAGUCUCACAACUCAAUUGCUGGUUGAAAACUGUUUUCUGCCCCUUCCAAAAGAUAGAAUUUGUAGAUAAUUGGCCCUCUUUCUGGGACUCACCCACAAACAGGACCAAGCCUGGCCUGUUGAGGAGUGACGGACUCCAUCCUAGCUGGAGGGAUGCUCUCAUCUUAUCUACAAACACAGACAGGGCUCUAACUCCCCUAGCUCCACAAUGAAAUAGGGUGCAGGCCAGGCAGCAGGCUGUUAGCCAGCAUGCCAGCUUAGUGGAGUCUGCCACUAGCACAGUCAGUGUAGUCAGCUCAGCUAUCCCCAUUGAGACCGUGUCUGUGCCUCGACCUAGGUUGGGCAAAACUAAACAUGGCGGUGUUCGCCUUAGCAAUCUCACUAGAAUAAAGACCUCCAUUCCUGCCAUUAUUGAAAGAGAUCGUGAUACCUCACAUCUCAAAAUAGGGCUACUUAAUGUUAGAUCCCUCACUUCCAAGGCAGUUAUAGUCAAAGAACUAAUCACUGAUUAUAAUCUUGGUGUGAUUGGCCUGACUGAAACAUGGCUUAAGCCUGAUGAUUUUACUGUGUUAAAUGAGGCCUCAUCUCCUGGUUACACUAGUGACCAUAUCCCCACUCAUCCCGCAAAGGCGGGGGUGUUGCUAACAUUUACGAUAGCAAAUUUCAAUUUACAAAAAAAUAAAUGACGUUUUCGUCUUUUGAGCUUCUAGUCAUGAAAUCUAUGCAGCCUACUCAAUCGCUUUUUAUAGCUACUGUUUACAGGCUUCCUGGGCCAUAUACAGCGUUCUUCACUGAGUUCCCUGAAUUCCUAUCGGACCUUGUAGUCAUAACAGAUAAUAUUCAAAUUUUUGGUGACUUUAAUAUUCACAUGGAAAAGUCCACAGACCCACUCCAAAAGGCUUUCGGAGCCAUCAUCAACUCAGUGGGUUUUGUCCAACAUGUCUCCGGACCUACUCACUGCCACAGUCAUACUCUGGACCUAGUUUUGUCCCAUGGAAUAAAUGUUGUGGACCUUAAUGUUUUUCCUCAUAAUCCUGGACUAUCGGACCACGAUUUUAUCAUGUUUGCAAUCGCAACAAAUAAUCUGCUCAGACCCCAACCAAGAAGCAUUAAAAGUCGUGCUAUAAAUUCUCAGACAACCCAAAGAUUCCUUGAUGCCCUUCCAGACUGCCUCUGCCUACCCAAGGACGUCAGAGGACAAAAAUCUGUUAAUCACCUAACUGAGGAACUUAAUUUAACCUUGCGCAAUACCCUAGAUGCAGUUGCACCCCUAAAAACUAAAAACAUUUGUCAAAAGAAACUAGCUCCCUGGUAUACAGAAAAUACCCGAGCUCUGAAGCAAGUUCCAGAAAAUUGUAACGGAAAUGGCGCCACACCAAACUGGAAGUCUUCCGACUAUCUUGGAAAGACAGUACCGUGCAGUAUCGAAGAGCCCUCACUGCUGCUCGAUCAUCCUAUUUUUCCAAGUUAAUUGAGGAUUGAAAAUUUAUUUUUGAUACUGUUGCAAAGCUAACUAAAAAGCAGCAUUCCCCAAGAGAGGAUGGCUUUCACUUCAGCAGUAAUAAAUUCAUGAACUUCUUUGAGGAAAAGAUCAUGAUCAUUAGAAAGCAAGUUACAGACUCCUUUUUAAAUCUGUGUAUUCCUCCAAAGCUCAGUUGUCCUGAGUCUGCACAACUUUGCAGACUCAAACUUUGCAGUCCUAGGACCUAGGAUCAAGGGAGUCACUCAAGUGUUUUAGUACUAUAUCUCUUGACACAAUGAUGAAAAUAAUUAUGGCCUCUAAACCUUCAAGCUGCAUACUGGACCCUAUUCCAACUAAACUACUGAAAGAGCUGCUUCCUGUGCUUGGCCCUCCUAUGUUGAACCUAAUAAACGGCUCUCUAUGCACCGGAUGUGUACCAAACUCACUAAAAGUGGCAGUAAUAAAGCCUCUCUUGAAAAAGCCAAACCAUGACCCAGAAAAUAUAAAAAACUAUCGGCCUAUAUCAAAUCUCCCAUUCCUCUCAAAUAUUUUACAAAAAGCAACUCACUGCCUUCCUGAAGACAAACAAUGUAUAUGAAAUGCUUCAGUCUGGUUUUAGACCCCAUCAUAACACUGAGACUGCACUUGUGAAGGUGGUAAAUUACCUUUUAAUGGCAUCAGACCGAGGCUCUGCAUCUGUCUUCGUGUUCCUAGACCUUAGUGCUGCUUUUGAUACCAUCGAUCACGACAUUCUUUUGGAGAGAUUGGAAACCCAAAUUGGUCUACACGGACAAGUUCUGGCCUGGUUUAGAUCUUAUCUGUCGGAAAGAUAUCAGUUUGUCUCUGUGAAUGGUUUGUCCUCUGACAAUUCAACUGUACAUUUUGGUGUUCCUCAAGGUUCCGUUUUAGGACCAAUUUUUUUCCUAUAUAUUUUACCUCUUGGGGAUGUCAUUCGAAAACAUAAUGUUAACUUUCACUGCUAUGCGGAUGACACACAGCUGUACAUUUCAAUGAAACAUGGUGAAACCCCAUAAUUCCCCUCACUGGAAGCCUGAGUUUCAGACAUAAGGAAGUGGAUGGCUGCAAACUUUCUACUUUUAAAUUCGGACAAAACGGAGAUGCUUGUUCUAGAUCCCAAGAAACAAAGAGAUCUUCUGUUGAAUCUGACAAUUAAUCUUGAUGAUUGUACAGUCAUCUCAAAUAAAACUGUGAAGGACCUCAGCGUUACUCUGGACCCUAAUCUCUCUUUUGACAAACAUAUCAAGACUGUUUCAAGGACAGCUUUUUUCCAUUUACGUAACAUUGCAAAAAUCAGAAAUUUUCUGCCCAAAAAUGAUGCAGAAAAAUGAAUCCAAGCUUUUAUUACUUCUAGGUUAGACUACUGCAAAGCUCUACUUUACAGCUACCCGGAUAAAGCACUAAAUAAACUUCAGUUAAUGCUAAAUACGGCUGCUAGAAUCCUGACUAGAACCAAAAAAUGUAUCAUAUUACUCCAGUGCUAGCCUCCCUACACUGGCUUCCUGUUAAGGCAAGGGCUGAUUUCAAGGUUUUACUGCUAACCUACAAAGCAUUACAUGGGCUUGCUCCUAUCUAUCUUUCCGAUUUGGUCCUGCUGUACAUACCUACACGUACGCUACGAUCACAAGACGCAGGCCUCCUAAUUGUCCCUAGGUUUUUUAUUUAGUCAUUUAGCAGACACUCUUAUCCAGAGCGACUUACAGUAGUGAAUGCAUA